AUGCACACUGGCACUGGCAACAACGGGAGACAGCAGCGCAGGCGCAGCAGCCAGCAGAGCGGAGGAGGGUUGCCGCGGAGAAAAGAAAUCGGGAAAUCCCCAUCCAGCUCCGCGGUGAGAGAGAUAGAGAGAGGCGCGGAGGCGAUGCUAGCUCCCGCGCUGAGCCCCCCCAAAAGAUUUGGCGACGCGUCGCCCACCCCAAACGGGAACCUCCCCCCCUCACUGAACCCCCCUGCAAUCCCCAAAUCCCCGAAAGCCCUAGGGCGUGCAGCGCUGGAGGAGCGGCACCCGAAACCCUACCCGCCGGCCAUGGUGAUCGCCGUGGAGGGGAGCUUCGUGCACCAGGACGAGGGGGAGGACGGGGACCACCCCAUGCGCUACCUCCCCCUCGGCCGCGUCUACUCCUCCACCGCCCCCUGCCCGCCCCCCAAGAAGCCCCGCAGCUCCGCCUCCGCCGCCGCGGGCGGCAAGCCGCCCGUGAUCGUCUACUACCGCCGUCGCCGCAAGAAGCCGCGGCUCGAGGAGCCACGGCCGUCCUCGCCCGCCACUGCGCCGCGGCAGCCGGAGGAGGAGGAGGAGGAGGAGGAGGAGGAGGCGCUGGGCAGGGGCUCGCGGCGGAAGCGCCCGCUCAAGCACGAGCUGCUCAGCCUGGGGUCCGCCCCGCCUGCAUUGGGCGCGGAUAGAGACGGGGAGGAGCUGCUGGGGCGACGGCAGCCGAGGCGCAGAGGGGGAGUGCAGAAGGAGAGCACUUCGGCGCCCCGGAGGCGACGGCGCCGCAGCAGCCAGCUGGAGGCCGCCUCUCCAUCUGAGAAGAGAUGGGUAGAGUUGGAAAUUCAGGGUGCCGAUCCGCAGGCGUUUGUCGGUUUAGUGUGCAAGGUUUUCUGGCCCCUAGAUGAUGAUUGGUACAAGGGUUCCAUCACGGCCUACACGGAACUAACCAAGAAGCAUUCUGUGAAGUAUGAUGAUGGUGAAGCAGAAGACCUUACCCUAGCUAAUGAAAGGAUACAGUUUUCCAUUUCAUCCGAGGAAAUGAAGAGCCUGAACCUGAAAUUUGGAACAUCUAACCUGGAUAAGAAGGGAUACGAUGAGCUGCUUGCACUUGCUGUCAGCUUUCAUGACUACCAAGGUCUUGAUCCAGAUGAUCUAGUGUGGGCUAAAAUAACAGGUCAUGCAAUGUGGCCAGCUGUUAUAGUGGACGAGUCAAAUGUUCAUGCUAGCCGGGCCCUCAAGCCAAUUCGGUUAGAUCAAUCAAUACUUGUUCAAUUCUUUGGCACCCAUGAUUUUGCAAGGAUUAAGUUGAAGCAGGCGGUGCCCUUUCUGAAUGGCCUUCUUUCUUCCUUGCAUCUCAAAUGCAAGCAAGCACGCUUCUCCCGAGGCUUAGAAGAAGCCAAGGAGUUUCUCCUCACCCAACAGCUUCCAGAAAAUAUGUUGCAACUUCGGAAAUCCAUUGAAAAUGAUGGUUCUGAUGUUAAUGGCCAAGAUGACGCGAUAGGCUCUUGUGAUAAUUUAUCAGAAGAAAGAGCAGAAGAAAAUGGAGAGGAUGCUGAAAUGACUCAAAUAGAACUAGGGAAUCUUCGUGUGAGCAACCUAGGCAGGAUAGUAUCUGAUUCAGACCAUUUCCAUAACAAAAUGCACAUAUGGCCUGAAGGGUAUACUGCUUUCAGGAAGUUCGCAUCAGUAAAAGAUCCACACCUAGUAACAUCUUACAAAAUGGAAGUACUGAGGAAUUCAGAUAUAAAAGCACGACCGUUGUUUAGGGUGAUCUCUGAAGAUGGAUUGCAGAUUGAUGGCUCUACGCCUAAUGCAUGCUGGAAGGAGAUAUACUGCAGGAUAAAACAAAAACAGUGCAAUGUUGCCUCGGAACUGGAAGGAAAUGUUUGUCAGAGAUCUGGUUCAGACAUGUUUGGCUUUUCAAACCCACAAAUUAGGCAGCUUAUUCAGGAGUUGCCAAAUGCAAGGUCGUGUUUGAAGUAUUUUGAAAAUGGUGGGGAUACCCUCCGUGGUUACAGAGCUGUUCAUGUUAAUUGGAAAGAUCUAGACUUUUGCAGUGUAUGUGAUAUGGAUGAGGAGUAUGAAGACAAUUUGUUCUUGCAAUGUGACAAGUGCCGUAUGAUGGUUCAUGCUCGGUGCUAUGGCGAACUAGAACCAUUGAAUGGAGUACUUUGGUUGUGCAACCUGUGCCGACCUGGGGCACCUCGCGUGUCCCCACGAUGCUGCCUAUGUCCUGUCACAGGGGGUGCAAUGAAACCUACAACAGAUGGCCGUUGGGCUCAUCUAGCAUGUGCAAUAUGGAUUCCUGAAACUUGCUUAAAAGAUGUAAAGAGAAUGGAACCCAUUGAUGGAUUGAGCAAAAUCAACAAGGACCGCUGGAAACUUCUAUGCAGCAUCUGUACAGUUGCUUAUGGAGCUUGCAUACAGUGCUCACAUCCUACUUGUCGAGUUGCAUAUCACCCGCUCUGUGCACGUGCUGCUGAUCUAUGUGUUGAGGUAAAUUACUUCUAUGAUGAGGGCCCAUGUAUUCGUCUACUCUCGUAUUGCAAGAAGCACAGACAACCAUCUACUGAACGUCCAUCUCUUGAAAGUAAUCUUGGUAACCCUGCUCAGUUAGUUCAGACAGACGCGGCUUCAUCAUCUGGUUGUGCAAGGACUGAGCCCUAUAAUUUUCACCGGAGAAGAGGCCAACAACAACCUCAAGUUACAGCUACUGCUUCUGUAAAGCGUUUGUAUGUGGAGAACAUGCCUUAUAUUGUUAGUGGCUACUGCCAAAAUAAAGUAGGCUGUGAUACUAGCUGUGAACCAAUUCAAUCAGUCGCCUUGUUGGAUGCUGCAUCACAAGAAGCUUCUGUCAAUGUGUCUUCUAUGGCUGAAAAAUAUAAAAGCAUGAAGGCCACAUUCAGGAAGAGACUAGCUUUUGGAAAAUCAAGAAUUCAUGGGUUUGGUGUUUUUGCAAAGGUUGCACACAAGGCAGGAGACAUGAUGAUCGAAUACAUAGGGGAGCUUGUUAGGCCACCGAUAUCAGACCUUAGAGAGCGGCGUAUAUACAAUUCUUUGGUGGGUGCUGGGACAUACAUGUUCAGGAUAGAUGAUGAGCGUGUUAUUGACGCUACACGAGCAGGAAGCAUAGCCCAUUUGAUCAAUCACUCAUGCGAGCCUAAUUGUUAUUCGCGUGUGAUAAGUGUUCUUGGGGAUGAGCAUAUCAUCAUUUUUGCAAAGCGGGACAUAGACCCAUGGGAAGAGUUGACCUAUGAUUAUAGGUUUGUUUCGAAUGAACAACGGCUUCCUUGUUAUUGUGGAUUUCCAAAAUGCCGGGGAGUUGUUAAUGAUGUUGAAGCAGAGGUCCAAUCAACCAAAAUAAGAGUCACCAGGAGUGAAUUAUUUCAGCAGAAAGACUAA
rnacentral:rRNA from 1 species